rnacentral:rRNA from 1 species
GCAGUCGAGCGGUAGCACAGGAGAGCUUGCUCUCUGGGUGACGAGCGGCGGACGGGUGAGUAAUGUCUGGGAAACUGCCUGAUGGAGGGGGAUAACUACUGGAAACGGUAGCUAAUACCGCAUGACCUCGCAAGAGCAAAGUGGGGGACCUUCGGGCCUCACGCCAUCGGAUGUGCCCAGAUGGGAUUAGCUAGUAGGUGGGGUAAUGGCUCACCUAGGCGACGAUCCCUAGCUGGUCUGAGAGGAUGACCAGCCACACUGGAACUGAGACACGGUCCAGACUCCUACGGGAGGCAGCAGUGGGGAAUAUUGCACAAUGGGCGCAAGCCUGAUGCAGCCAUGCCGCGUGUGUGAAGAAGGCCUUAGGGUUGUAAAGCACUUUCAGCGAGGAGGAAGGGUUCAGUGUUAAUAGCACUGAGCAUUGACGUUACUCGCAGAAGAAGCACCGGCUAACUCCGUGCCAGCAGCCGCGGUAAUACGGAGGGUGCAAGCGUUAAUCGGAAUUACUGGGCGU